UGACUGUAGGUGACUGUGGGUGACUGUAGGUGACUGUGGGUGACUGUGGGUGACUGUAGGUGACUGUAGGUGACUGUAGGUGACUGUAGGUGACUGUAGGUGACUGUAGGUGACUGUAGGUGACUGUGGGUGGCUCCGCCUGUAUUCCUGCCACCCUGCUGGGUGGGUCGGUUAAGUGCCUGGCACCUUUCUGAGUCGUUAGCUACAUCAUUUCCCAUAAGAUCCCAUAUCCAAUAGGCAUUUUUUUUUCUUCACUCCAAAACGAUCCUUUGAUCCUUUCAGUGACAUCACAGGGACAAAC
rnacentral:lncRNA from 1 species